rnacentral:hammerhead_ribozyme from 1 species
AUCCAGCUGAUGAGUCCUAAAUAGGACGAAAAGCCCAUCAAUCUGGAU